CCGCGGUAUUUUGACCGUGAUAAGGUAGCGCAAUCACUUGUCUUUUAAAUGAAGACCUGUAUGAAUGGUGGAACGAGGGCUUAACUGUCUCCCUUCUCCGGUCAAUGAAAUUGAUCUGCCCGUGCAGAAGCGGGCAUACAAAUACAAGACGAGAAGACCCUUUGGAGCUUUAGACAAAAGGCCAAUCUUCGGUUGGGGCGACCGCGGGGGAAAACAAAGCCCCCACGUGGAAUGUAAAACUAAGAGAGACAUCUCUAAGCCACAGAACAUCUGACCCCGAUCAACGAACCAAGUUACCCUAGGGAUAACAGCGCAAUCCCCUCCAAGAGUUCAUAUCGACGAGAGGGUUUACGACCUCGAUGUUGGAUCAGGACAUCCUAAUGGUGCAGCC
rnacentral:rRNA from 1 species